rnacentral:lncRNA from 1 species
GCUCCUUUGUUUGCAUGUUACAUUCUAAUUUCCUAGGGAUUAAUGGAUUCCUUGCAGUUAUUUUUUCUCAUUAGCAUACCUGUUACAGUAAGCAUGAGCACAAAAUCACAACCUAUAGUAGUUAUUAUUAUUUUUGACAAAAUAAUAAUGUUUAACUCUAGAAGCCGAUAGAAAUAGAACUCUAAACGUUAUGGCACGUACUCACCUUUACAACUUCGGCCAUUCUUGUGCUAUAGUUUAUUUGAAAGCCUACAAUUGAAAAUUCGGACUCAGGUUAUGAUUAAUUAGGGAGGCUUCUUUGCAGAACCCCGGUCUAACAGGAGUUGAUGGUGUCAACAGAGAUUGCAAUGGUGUGUUUGUUGCGGCGUCUGCAGCCUAGGACGGGCAUCUUCAAGGCGUGACCUCUUGCUCCGAUCUCCCCUACACCUAGGAUGUUGUCUGCACCAUGACCUCUUGCUCCGAUCUCCCCUACACCUAGGAUGUUGUCUGCACCAAGAGCCACUAUUGAACAUGAUUCCAACUGCAGCUGGGCCGAGUCUCCAUAGUCAUUUCGAAAAUUUUAGCUCUUUCAAAACAUUAGGCAAAUGUUUACCACUGAUAAGGCUUUAACGAUGAAAAUGAACAAUUGAAAGGUUUCUCAAUUUCAUAACACACUUUUUCUACUGUAUUUUAGAGGUGCACCAACCUUAGAUAAAUUUUCCUCUUUAAAUAUUGCCCUCACUAUUUCAUAUGUUACACUCACAACCCACUUUUUUUGGAUUUUUUGAUUUUAUUUUUUUAUUUAUAAAAUUAAUCUCAAAUUUUGAAUGUCUAUGCUUCUCACCAAUCCACACUUAUAAAAAAUAUAAAAUUAAUAACUGCAAAUAAAUAAAAAACUAAAAUGCCCCUACAGUUUGUACAUAUAUUUAGGUCAUUUUAUCUUAGUUUAAUUAUUUUUCAAAGAUGCUUUAUGGUAAUAAAAAACACAAAAAUUUGAUCUCAAUAUGUUAUAUAGAAAAAAAGACAAAACUGAAAUACUAGACGUGCUCCUAAAAAGGCAGAACAUAAACAAAAAUAUGGAAUAUUGGAGCUAAUUUUAAAUUUCUAAAGAAAGUAAUGUAAGUUUUCCUUAAUAUUUUUACCAUGCGUACAUAGAAAAUACUUACAAAUACUUACGAGUGAAUUUCUAAAGCAUUUUGCUCAUGGCUUAUCACUAUCCAAAGUCUAUCUUGGUCACGGUUAUCUAAUAAUAUUUGAAAUUUAAGAAUUUUUCUACAAAUCAUGUUCAUUUGAAUUUUGGAGCAUGUGAACAUCAAUCCAACUCACAUAUAAAUGAAGUAUUUCUAAAAAAAAUAAAAAAUGUUUAAAAUACUCAUGAAAAUUUUAUAUGGAAAAUUUGGUCAUUUUUAUUCUUUUGUAUUUUAUUUAGGAACGACCCACUAAGGGGCACACCCCAAAAAAAUUUAGGUUAACGUAAUUUGUAGAUAGUUUAUUAAGAUUUAAACAUUGUCAAACAAUUUUUGAUAGACUUUUAUAUCCAUCACCUCUAGCAAAAUAAUCAACCAAAACAAUUGCAUGGCAUCAAAGAUAAGAAAUAUAGAGGAUCAUAAAAUAAAUUACAAAAUUUAUGAAUCCACAACAUUAAAAUACCAUAAAAACCAAUGAAAAUAUCUAUGUAACCAUAAGAAGAAGCCAAUAAAUCUACUAAUUCCUAAAUACUAACAAUAAAUCGAUCGAAUUCAAAUAAAUAGAUGAGCCAUGAGUGGCUAAUUAAAAGAAGAAACAAAUAAGCAAAAUAAAGAAGCUUAUAAAUCCACUAACAUGACCCCUGAACGAGCCAAGCUUAAUCAACUUGGGGAAGUCCUGAGUCCCAAAACUGAUUUUCAUAUUGACGUUACAUAGUUUUUACAUCUUACACCAAGCACUCACCAUAACUUCAUAAGAGUUUGAACCAGCAACAUGAGGGGUAAAGAUAAGGAUUAAUCUUCUCUGAGCUUAAUCAGAAAAAAAAUAGACAAAUCAAAAAUAAAAUAUUUUUUUGUAGAUUUGGGGUUAUGGGAGUAACCCUAAUAAAAAAUAAAAGAAACUCAAUGUAUUCGUAGCUUCAACACAAUAACGGGGAAGAUAAAGGCAAGAAAUCAACACCUGAUGAAGGCAAGAAACCCUCGAGUGAGGAGAAUGAUCUUCAAUGAGAGGCACAGAGAAAGAGGGACGUAGGGUGUCGUUGGAGAGGCAAGAGAGGGAAAACAAAAUAAGAAGGAUGAUGUGAGUGCGUGAAUUGAUGGAAAAUAUAUAUAUAUAUAUAUUUAUAUACUCUUGCGGUGUGUGAUCCACGCUCCUGAAGCUUCGUUCUCCAUAAGGAGGGUUGCAGGGCCACGAUCACCAUUGUUGAGGGAUAAGGACUUCUCACACCUUAAAAAACAAUCUAACUGAACUUAGAACUACAAGAGUGGGUUGGAAGUUGGGAUGCCUUCUCACUUAAGUUCCAAUCGUCAAACGUGCCCUAAACGUUUGGCAUUAUGAAGGAUUAGCAGGCAAUGGAAGAGAGGAUAUACAUUAAUGAGAUGGAAACACAAAUUGAUGAGCUACUACUUGGUGGUCCAAGUGAUUUCCAUUAUUAGCGAUAGUUAAGAUUAUAUCUACCAAGUAAGAAGUUAUGUUUAUUGAUUAAAUCCUCCCAUGCAUAUGACAAGGUGUUAUCACAAACUUCAAAUAAAGCAUGAAAGAGAAGAUUGUGCUAGUUCUGGUGGGAACUAUUUAUUUUUUUGUUCUUUUGGUUGCAG